rnacentral:rRNA from 1 species
CGGGACUGAGUUACUUCGAGAAAACUAGGGAUCGCUGGAGUUCGAUGUUUCGGCAUUGUCUUUGGUGAGAACUAGUUUAAUCGCAGUGGCUUGAACCGGGCAAAAGUCGUAACAAGGUAGCCGUAGGUGAACCUUCGGCUGGAUCAUUA